rnacentral:rRNA from 1 species
UACGUAGGGGGCAAGCGUUGUCCGGAAUCAUUGGGCGUAAAGAGCGUGUAGGCGGCCCGGUAAGUCCGCUGUGAAAGUCCAGGGCUCAACCUCGGAACUGCCUUUGAUACUGGGGAUAUCGAGUCCGGGAGAGGUGAGUGGAACUGCGAGUGUAGAGGUGAAAUUCGUAGAUAUUCGCAAGAACACCAGUGGCGAAGGCGGCUCACUGGCCCGGUACUGACGCUGAGGUGCGAAAGCGUGGGGAGCAAACGGG